UUGAACGCUGGCGGCAGGCCUAACCCCUGCAAGUCGAGCGGAUGAAGGGAGCUUGCUCCUGGAUUCAGCGGCGGACGGGUGAGUAAUGCCUAGGAAUCUGCCUGGUAGUGGGGGAUAACGUCCGGAAACGGGCGCUAAUACCGCAUACGUCCUGAGGGAGAAAGUGGGGGAUCUUCGGACCUCACGCUAUCAGAUGAGCCUAGGUCGGAUUAGCUAGUUGGUGGGGUAAAGGCCUACCAAGGCGACGAUCCGUAACUGGUCUGAGAGGAUGAUCAGUCACACUGGAACUGAGACACGGUCCAGACUCCUACGGGAGGCAGCAGUGGGGAAUAUUGGACAAUGGGCGAAAGCCUGAUCCAGCCAUGCCGCGUGUGUGAAGAAGGUCUUCGGAUUGUAAAGCACUUAAGUUGGGAGGAAGGGCAGUAAGUUAAUACCUUGCUGUUUUGACGUUACCAACAGAAUAAGCACCGGCUAACUUCGUG
rnacentral:rRNA from 1 species